GAUGAACGCUGGCGGCGUGCCUAAUACAUGCAAGUCGAGCGAACAGACGAGGCUCUUGCUCCUCUGAUGUUAGCGGCGGACGGGUGAGUAACACGUGUAUAACCUCCCUAUAAGACUGGGAUAACUUCGGGAAACCGGAGCUAAUACCGGAUAACCUGCUGAACCGCAUGGUUCAACAGUGAAAGACGGUCUUGCUGUCACUUCUAGAUGGAUCCGAGCCGCAUUGGCUAGUUGGUAAGGUAACGGCUUAUCAAGGCUACGAUGCGUAGCCGACCGGAGAGGGUGAUCGGCCGCACGGGAGCGGAGACGCGGUCCAGGGUACUACGGGAGGCAGCAGUAGGGAAUCGUCCGCAAUGGGCGAGAGCCUGACGGAGCAGCGCCGCGUGAGUGAAGAAGGUCUUCGGAUCGUAAAACUCUGUUAUUAGGGAAGAACCAAUGUGUAAGUAACUAUGCACGGCGUGACGGUACCUGGUAAGAAAGCCACGGCUAACUACGUG
rnacentral:rRNA from 1 species